UCAGUUUCUUCUUGGUUCCUUAAGCAGAACCACACUGAAACACACUGAAGCGAGAGAAAGCAUGAUCGUGCAACAGACCUGGAGGAGAGGAUUUUAUGCACUCCCUCAGUUACCGUUUCUACUGUGCUCAACUGUGCAACUGCUUGGGCUACCUUAGCCCACCACGAAUGUGUGCCAGAUGUUUCCCUGACCGAGAUGGCUGGCUCUUCUCUUUCUCCUCUGGCUGGUUGUUUUAAUGCAGAUAUUAGCAAUGAUACUCACCUAUGAAGAACUGUUAUUGAAUCUAAAUCAUGGAAUCUGUUCUACAGCUUUGCUCCAACCUUAUCAGGGAUUUUAAUCAGCUAUGAACUUGGUACGCAUCACCGCUUGAAAACUGAGUCCAUGGUUAUUGUUAAUGGUGAGAGGUCAUUUCUGAAUGCAUGUCUAUAAACAAAGAAUAGACUUCCACUUUAUUUUUAUAAUGCUUUAAAUAUAAAUUCAAAUGUAUUUACUAGAGGUUGUGUUUGUUUAAAAAUUAGUUUUGAACUUCAGCUAUCUGAAUUUAGUUAUUUCCCAGUCUUCACUUUAAGGCAAUUCAGUUGGAAUUUAAGUCAGAUCCUCAAACACGUAUAGCAAUUGUGUGAAAUCAAGCAAAUCCAUCAAGUGUAACCUUUUAACAUUAAUCAUUCUAAUGACAAUUGUUCAAAAGACUUUGUUCUAUACAGAACUUGAUUUAUUUUAGAGAA